rnacentral:rRNA from 1 species
AACGUAGGGGGCAAGCGUUGUCCGGAAUCAUUGGGCGUAAAGAGCGCGUAGGCGGCCCUGUAAGUCCGCUGUGAAAGUCAAGGGCUCAACCCUUGAAUGCCGGUGGAUACUGCAGGGCUAGAGUCCGGAAGAGGCGAGUGGAAUUCCUAGUGUAGCGGUGAAAUGCGUAGAGAUUAGGAAGAACACCAGUGGCGAAGGCGACUUACUGGACUGUAACUGACGCUGAGGCGCGAAAGCUAGGGGAGCAAACGGG